GACUACCUACGGGACGCAGCAGUGGGGAAUAUUGCGCAAUGGGGGCAACCCUGACGCAGCAACGCCGCGUGAUUGAAGAAGGCCUUCGGGUUGUAAAGAUCUUUAAUCGGGGACGAAUUUUGACGGUACCCGAAGAAUAAGCUCCGGCUAACUACGUGCCAGCAGCCGCGGUAAUACGUAGGGAGCAAGCGUUAUCCGGAUUUACUGGGGGUAAGGGGCGUGUAGGCGGGAAUGCAAGCCAGAAGGGAAAUAUGGGGG
rnacentral:rRNA from 1 species